GACGAACCGUCCAAACGUUAUUCGGAAUCACUGGGCUUAAAGGGUGCGUAGGCGGUUCGGUAAGUUGGGUGUGAAAGCCCUCAGCUCAACUGAGGAAUAGCGCCCAAUACUGCCGGGCUGGAGGGAGACAUAGGUGAGCGGAACUUAGGGUGGAGCGGUGAAAUGCGUUGAGAUCCUAAGGAACACCAGUAGCGUAAGCGGCUCACUGGGUCUCUUCUGACGCUGAAGCACGAAAGCUAGGGGAGCGAAG
rnacentral:rRNA from 1 species